AGCGCAGGCGGUUUCUUAAGUCUGAUGUGAAAGCCUUCGGCUCAACCGAAGAAGUGCAUCGGAAAUUGGGAAACUUGAGUGCAGAAGAGGACAGUGGAACUCCAUGUGUAGCGGUGAAAUGCGUAGAUAUAUGGAAGAACACCAGUGGCGAAGGCGGCUGUCUGGUCUGUAACUGACGCUGAGGCUCGAAAGCAUGGGUAGCAAACA
rnacentral:rRNA from 1 species